rnacentral:rRNA from 1 species
UACGGGGGGGGCAAGCGUUGUUCGGAAUUACUGGGCGUAAAGGGUGCGUAGGCGGUUGGGUAAGUCUGUCGUGAAAUCUCCGAGCCUAACUCGGAAACUGCGUCGGAUACUAUUCAACUCGAGGAAUGGAGGGGAGACUGGAAUUCUCGGUGUAGCAGUGAAAUGCGUAGAUAUCGAGAGGAACACCAGUGGCGAAGGCGAGUCUCUGGACAUUUCCUGACGCUGAGGCACGAAAGCCAGGGGAGCAAACGGG